rnacentral:rRNA from 1 species
AACGCUAGCUACAGGCUUAACACAUGCAAGUCGAGGGGCAGCAUGAACUUAGCUUGCUAAGUUUGAUGGCGACCGGCGCACGGGUGAGUAACGCGUAUCCAACCUUCCGCUUACUCGGGAAUAGCCUUUCGAAAGAAAGAUUAAUACCCGAUGGUAUCUUAAGCGCACAUGCAAAUAAGAUUAAAGAUUUAUCGGUAAGCGAUGGGGAUGCGUUCCAUUAGAUAGUAGGCGGGGUAACGGCCCACCUAGUCGACGAUGGAUAGGGGUUCUGAGAGGAAGGUCCCCCACAUUGGAACUGAGACACGGUCCAAACUCCUACGGGAGGCAGCAGUGAGGAAUAUUGGUCAAUGGGCGCGAGCCUGAACCAGCCAAGUAGCGUGAAGGAUGAAGGUCCUACGGAUUGUAAACUUCUUUUAUAAGGGAAUAAAGUCACCUACGUGUAGGUGUUUGUAUGUACCUUAUGAAUAAGCAUCGGCUAACUCCGUGCCAGCAGCCGCGGUAAUACGGAGGAUGCGAGCGUUAUCCGGAUUUAUUGGGUUUAAAGGGAGCGUAGACGGGUCGUUAAGUCAGCUGUGAAAGUUUGAGGCUCAACCUUAAAAUUGCAGUUGAUACUGGCGUCCUUGAGUACGGUUGAGGCAGGCGGAAUUCGUGGUGUAGCGGUGAAAUGCAUAGAUAUCACGAAGAACUCCGAUUG